ACAUGCUGUAGUGUUCUUGAGGAACGGAAGGGGCCGAAUGGAGUUCAGGAAGUCAGCUAUAAGGGAGUUCCAGUACAAAUGGGAGAUAACUCAAUGAUUAGAACUGAAGAAAGAUCUGGGCAGCGUCCUUGGAUAAAGGAAAGCUUCCUUUAUCUUCUCUGAGCACCAGAGACCAUGAGCUGCCUCCUUAAUAUGGUGUGACUGUAACAGCAAGAUUGGAAGGGCUGCAUGCAGAAGUUGGCUGCCACAAGACCAUCCCACAAGAACGGAGGAGAAGGGAGAAGAGCAGUCAAAUCCUCUCCUCUGAUCCCAUUGAUGUCUAAGCUUAACUCUAAUUGAGGAGGUGCUCACUUGACAUAGCAUAAGUCCCUCCUAUAUUACUCACUUAAGCAGCUCUCCUUGAGCUGGGAAAGAUGUCCUUUACUCCCUGGUGUCCUGCAGUCAACUUUUAAAAGAUCAAUUGUAAUUUGGGCUGAAUAACCUCAACGACUUCUGAUGGAUUGCUCACAUGGGCUCAUGGGGAUCAAGGGAUCGAUACAUUUUAGAAAAUGAAAUAGGUGAAUGAGUGUUGUAUGUUUAUUGCUAUUGUAGUGAAAUACAUACUCUGUUUAGCUGGAUCCCUACUGAUGCUAGCAUUGAGUUACAGAUGAAUGAGUUCUCUAAUAACAAGUCGGUAUAAAGGCAUGGCUGUUUCAUGUGGGGCUGUGGGAGUUUGUGCUGCUAUUUGUUCAUUUUUAGGCACUGCAUGUUGACAUUCAUGGUGAUUUGGUUAGGUUAUUACAAAGAGCAGCAAAGUGUGUAGAGCUUGAAGAGUUUUGUUGCUGUUUGGGGUUCACUGAUGCUUGUGGGUUUAGAUUCAUGAUGGAUUGAUACCUGAGAACUGCUUUUCCAUGCUGAGUAGAGGAGAGAAGACAAUAUGAAGGCUUCUAAUUCAUUCAGAAAGCGGAAGUAGCACAACAUUGUUAGUUGUUACAAGCAGUUGUUUACACAUCCAGCAGCUACAGAGCAACAUCAGCAUUCAUUUGGAGUCACAAACAGCUGGGGGGGGGGUGGAAUUAAAAUUAAACUUAAACCCUAGUCCUUAAACCCUAGUGGUGGGAGAUCAGAAAAAACGCAUUUUCUGUGAUUUAAUUAGCCUCACACACAUACUCAGUAGGUGAUUUGUUAAUUUUUAACAAAAAUUACAGACGUUCACCUGUGACUAGCAAACCAACUCAUGGACAACUCCCCCCCUAAGCUAUAUAAUUUAGAGAAUAUUAUAGAUGAAAGAUGAAGAUGAAACUGACAAAAGGGUGUGACUCAGAGAAAAAGUCCCAAUUACAAAUUUGUCUGCUACUUACAGCACCAUGGUCAGGGUCAUAGAUUCUAACUUGCACAAACCUCAGUCAGAUAAAGGAUCAAUGAGUCAGGCAGACCAGACUAAUAUAUUCAACUAAACAACCCCUCUGCCCUUGCACUCUCUCUGCUAUGAGGGGGGGGGGCAGGUUUGAUAAUUUUGCUAACAAGGGGGAUGGCAUCCAUGCUUAUACCCCUCACUACUUAUACUGCUAAUCAUGACACCAGU